CGGUUGGGAGGGCUGCCAUGGAGCAGUCCGUUGAGGCUUGGCCCUCACCCGGCCG
rfam:Skermanella aerolata KACC 11604 strain 5416T-32 contig10, whole genome shotgun sequence.